AUGCUCACUUCAGCAGCACGUAUGCUAAAAUUGGAAUGAUACCGGGAAGAUCGGCAUGGCCUCUGUGCAAGGAUGACAUGCAAAUUGGUGACAUGUUCCAUACUAAA
rnacentral:snRNA from 1 species